rnacentral:misc_RNA from 1 species
AAAGUCGUAACAAGGUAACCGUAGGUGAACCUGCGGUUGGAUCAUUAAAAAACAUGAAUCGCAGUUGUGAAUAACUACUCGAUUUUGCUCGUAAUUCUCACAAGUAAGAAUGUGCAUUUGUGUGUUCUUCCUUACUGAGAUGCACAGCAUCCACCUUGUGUGAACCGUUUUGUCUCUGGCGGUGGGAUGUAAGGCAAACUUGUUUGUCUAACAUUUGUCAGCUUGGGAAACCAGGCCGUGGACAAACCGCCAACCACUUGCUCAACCCAACUUCUAUUUUUUUUGUCUAACAUUAAUUUGUAUUAAUCUACAAACAACUUUUGGCAACGGAUCUCUUGGCUCUC